rnacentral:misc_RNA from 1 species
AAAGUCGUAACAAGGUUUCCGUAGGUGAACCUGCGGAAGGAUCAUUAACUGGUUUGGUGGUGGUGGUGGUGGUUGGGUUGGGUUGGUUGCGCACUGUGGUCACCACUGGCGUGGCUUCCCCUCAAUCUCAUAUCAUAUCAUAUCAUCACAAUAAACGCAAGGCAGCUAUUGCAGUUGUCUUGUCUUGUUUUCACGCUUGUUUUUGUUUGACAAAUAUUUGGAUGGAUUUAUUUAUGAUAACUUUUAACAAUGGAUCUCUUGGCUCUU